rnacentral:rRNA from 1 species
GACGAACGCUGGCGGCGUGCUUAACACAUGCAAGUCGAACGGAAAGGCCCUGCUUUUGUUGUGUGCUUGAGUGGCGAACGGGUGUGUAACACGUGAGUAACCUGCCCUUGCCUUUGGGAUAACUUCAGGAAACUGGGGCUAAUACCUGCUAGGAGCUCCUGCUGCAUGGUGGGGGUUGGUCAGUUUCGGCGGUUGGGUAUGGUCUCGCGGGUUAUCCGCUUGUUGGUGGGGUAGUGGCUUACCAAGGCUUUGACGGGUAGCCGGCCUGAGCGGGUGACCGGCCACAUGGCGACUGAGAUACGGCCCAGACUCGUACGGGAGGCAGCGGUGGGGAAUAUUGCACAAUGGGCGGAAGCCUGAUGCAGCAACGCCGCGUGCGGGAGGACGGGCUUCGGGUGGUAAACCGCUUUCGCCUGUGACGAAGCGAGAGUGACGGUAAUGGGUAAAGAAGCACCGGCUAACUACGUG